GGCAACCUCCAAUGCCUAUAAAUACUCUAAUCUUGCACUGCAAAUUCAAUUAUUUCUCUCAAUCAAACCAAUCUGCUAAAGAAAAUCAAUUGGGUUCAAAAAAAAAUGUAGGCAUCUCUUUAAUGUAGGCAUCUCUCUUUGUUGUUUUCUUUAUGGGCUAAGGACGCUUCAAAAGUUUCAUUGGAUUUGUUCAAAGCUUCAAAAGCCUUUAAUGGAGGAUAAUGGGAACGAUGACCCAUUGGGUUCCAAUAUUCCUGUGAAAGUUUGCGGUAAAUAUGACCAUGAGCUUGAUGUUGCAGUUAAAGUUGUUCAGCUUGCAUGUUCACUUUGCCAGAAAGUGCAAGAAAACCUGGUCCAAAACCAGGACAAAGUCAAGGCUAAAGAGGAUAGUUCCCUUGUAACAGUUGCAGAUUGGAGUGUCCAAGCAACUGUUAGCUGGGUUCUCUCAGAGUACUUUGGAAGUGAAAGCAUAUCAAUUGUUGCAGAAGAAGAUGUUCAGGCUCUUACAAGAGUGGAUUCCACUGCUUUACUGGACACUGUGGUCUCCACAGUAAAUGAAUGCCUAUCAGAGGCAAAUGGUUUUGGACUAAAGGGGCCAAAAAAAUCCCUUGGAUCCUCAGAGGUCCUUGAGGCCAUAGGAAGAUGUAAUUCUAAUGGAGGCCCAAAGGGAAGGCAUUGGGUGCUUGACCCAGUUGAUGGAACCCUAGGAUUUGUGAGAGGAGACCAAUAUGCAGUUGCUCUAGCCAUGCUAGAAGAAGGAGAAGUGGUGCUUGGAGUUCUUGGCUGCCCAAAUUAUCCAAUGAAAAAGGAGUGGCUUAAUUACCAUCAUAGUUACUAUAGGAUAAUGUCAAAGUUAAGCUCUCCAACUUUUGAGUCUUGGCAUAAAGGGUGUGUCAUGUAUGCCCAGAGGGGGAGUGAAGCUUGGAUGCAGCCUUUGCUUUGUGAUAACAAGCAAUUUUCGUUUCAGAGCUUGGCAAGGUCGAUUAGGGUGUCAUCAAUUGAUGACCCAGCGCUAGCAACAUUUUGUGAGCCGGUUGAGAAGGCCAAUUCAAGCCAUUCCUUCACUGCUGGACUGGCUCACAGUAUGGGACUAAGGAAACGGCCUUUGCGUGUUUAUAGCAUGGUCAAAUAUGCAGCCAUAGCUCGAGGUGAUGCUGAAAUAUUCAUGAAGUUUGCAAAGGCUGGAUACAAAGAGAAGAUAUGGGACCAUGCUGCCGGGGCUCUUAUAAUUCAAGAGGCUGGUGGUGUGGUAACUGAUGCAGGAGGCCGGCCUUUGGAUUUUUCCAAAGGUAUAUAUUUAGAAGGCCUUGAUCGAGGUAUAAUUGCAUGUUCAGGUGCUGUUCUUCACAAGAAGCUCAUCAAGGCUGUCUAUGAUAGUUGGGACUCCUCUAACUUGUGAACCUUCUCUAUUUCAUCAUUAUUGACAAUGUUGAUCGAGUAGUUUCCAAUCUUUUGGUACUGAUGGACCUAUCUGCCACUCUUAAGGCAAGGCUCUUUUGUAGCUGAACUGGCUAUAUCGGGAAUGUGCUUUUGCUAAAGAAACCUAUAUUCUUUCUGUGGUAAGAUCAUGGUCACUGAUAAUGUUUUUACGGUUCACAAAUGCAUCAAGGAGUAUGGUGCAAAAUAUGAUAUAUAAGUAAUAUCCUUCCAUAAAAAAUAAAAAAAAAAGCCCAAGCCGCUCAGAUGGCUGAAUCUGCCUGUAAUUAAAACUAUAUACAGUAAAUCACAUGAGGAUCUUAAUUUACGCUAUUCUUUUUUUUUCUCA